rnacentral:rRNA from 1 species
AAGACUUGGCGGUGCCCUAUACCACCUAGAGGAGCCUGUUCUGUAAUCGAUAAUCCCCGAUCAACCUCACCAUCCCUUGCCAAUACCGCCUGUAUACCUCCGUCGUCAACUGACCCCUCAAGGGAAAUAGUUGGUUCAAUGGCUUACCACCAGAAAGUCAGGUCAAGGUGCAGCGAAUGAGAUGGGAAGAAAUGGGCUACAUUUUCUACCUUUAGACUAUACGAAAGAUUACUAUGAAAUCUGAUUAGAAGGCGGAUUUAGCAGUAAAAGGAGAUUAGAGCGCUCUUUUUAAGUAGGCCCUAGGGCGCGCACACACCGCCCGUCACCCUCUUCAACUCCAUAUUUUUUUAUUUAUAAUUGUCCCCAAGGAGUAUAGAAGAGGCAAGUCGUAACAUGGUAAGUCCACCGGAAGGUGGACUUGG